rnacentral:rRNA from 1 species
GAUGAACGCUGGCUACAGGCUUAACACAUGCAAGUCGAGGGGAAACGACGGGGAAGCUUGCUUCCCCGGGCGUCGACCGGCGCACGGGUGAGUAACGCGUAUCCAACCUGCCUCUGACUGAGGGAUAACCCGUCGAAAGUCGGCCUAAUACCUCAUGGUAUCGUCUGCGGGCAUCCAACGACGAUUAAAGAUUUCAUCGGUCAGGGAUGGGGAUGCGUCUGAUUAGCUUGUUGGCGGGGUAACGGCCCACCAAGGCUACGAUCAGUAGGGGUUCUGAGAGGAAGGUCCCCCACAUUGGAACUGAGACACGGUCCAAACUCCUACGGGAGGCAGCAGUGAGGAAUAUUGGUCAAUGGGCGAGAGCCUGAACCAGCCAAGUAGCGUGCAGGAAGACGGCCCUAUGGGUGGUAAACUGCUUUUAUGCGGGGAUAAAGUGGGGGACGUGUCCCUCAUUGCAGGUACCGCAUGAAUAAGGACCGGCUAAUUCCGUG